rnacentral:rRNA from 1 species
UACAGAGGUCUCAAGCGUUGUUCGGAUUCAUUGGGCGUAAAGGGUGCGUAGGCGGCGCGGUAAGUCGGGUGUGAAAUCUCGGAGCUUAACUCCGAAACUGCAUUCGAUACUGCCGUGCUUGAGGACUGGAGAGGAGACUGGAAUUUACGGUGUAGCGGUGAAAUGCGUAGAUAUCGUAAGGAAGACCAGUGGCGAAGGCGGGUCUCUGGCCAGUUCCUGACGCUGAGGCACGAAGGCCAGGGGAGCAAACGGG